AGGAGAGUUAAGUUUAACUAUUC
rnacentral:snRNA from 1 species